UUAUGGGAUUUUCUCCAAUAUUUUACCCAAUUACCUCAUUAAUUAACCAAUAAAACCCAAAGAAAAGCCACCGAUUAACCUUCUUAAACAAACCGUUUCUACUUCCUUCGUUGAUAAUGGCAGCCGAUCAAAUUCAACCAAACCGUGUCUUUUUCCUUUCAUUAAUUAUUAUGGCAAUUUCGAACAUUAAUCUCUCUUCCCUCUCUUCGAUUAAAGAUCUGUAAUUAGCGAUGAACCUACGGAAUAAUGCUUAAAAUUCAAGGCAUACUAACGUUCAUUAUAAUCAUCAUUGAAUAGCAAAGGAGAACAUAAAAAGGACCAGCAAUAGCGAAAAGCCACAAUUAGGUUGCACCAUGGAUCCUUCAAUAGAUUUCGAGAAGAUUCGCUUAAAAAUUGGAAGCGAAUUUUUUUUGUGUAACUGGAGCAAAACAUCAGCCUCUAUCAUCAUUAAUUGCUCUGAAUAUAUUAGGAGCAUAUACACACGAGAUGAAUGAGGAGGAUAAAAAA